GGUUAAGCGACUAAGCGUACACGGUGGAUGCCCUGGCAGUCAGAGGCGAUGAAGGACGUGCUAAUCUGCGAUAAGCGUCGGUAAGGUGAUAUGAACCGUUAUAACCGGCGAUUUCCGAAUGGGGAAACCCGAGUGUGUUUCGACACACUAUCAUUAACUGAAUCCAUAGGUUAAUGAGGCGAACCGGGGGAACUGAAACAUCUAAGUACCCCGAGGAAAAGAAAUCAACCGAGAUUCCCCCAGUAGCGGCGAGCGAACGGGGAGCAGCCCAGAGCCUGAAUCAGUGUGUGUGUUAGUGGAAGCGUCUGGAAAGGCGUGCGAUACAGGGUGACAGCCCCGUACACAAAAAUGCACAUGCUGUGAGCUCGAUGAGUAGGGCGGGACACGUGGUAUCCUGUCUGAAUAUGGGGGGACCAUCCUCCAAGGCUAAAUACUCCUGACUGACCGAUAGUGAACCAGUACCGUGAGGGAAAGGCGAAAAGAACCCCGGCGAGGGGAGUGAAAAAGAACCUGAAACCGUGUACGUACAAGCAGUGGGAGCACGCUUAGGCGUGUGACUGCGUACCUUUUGUAUAAUGGGUCAGCGACUUAUAUUCUGUAGCAAGGUUAACCGAAUAGGGGAGCCGAAGGGAAACCGAGUCUUAACUGGGCGUUAAGUUGCAGGGUAUAGACCCGAAACCCGGUGAUCUAGCCAUGGGCAGGUUGAAGGUUGGGUAACACUAACUGGAGGACCGAACCGACUAAUGUUGAAAAAUUAGCGGAUGACUUGUGGCUGGGGGUGAAAGGCCAAUCAAACCGGGAGAUAGCUGGUUCUCCCCGAAAGCUAUUUAGGUAGCGCCUCGUGAAUUCAUCUCCGGGGGUAGAGCACUGUUUCGGCAAGGGGGUCAUCCCGACUUACCAACCCGAUGCAAACUGCGAAUACCGGAGAAUGUUAUCACGGGAGACACACGGCGGGUGCUAACGUCCGUCGUGAAGAGGGAAACAACCCAGACCGCCAGCUAAGGUCCCAAAGUCAUGGUUAAGUGGGAAACGAUGUGGGAAGGCCCAGACAGCCAGGAUGUUGGCUUAGAAGCAGCCAUCAUUUAAAGAAAGCGUAAUAGCUCACUGGUCGAGUCGGCCUGCGCGGAAGAUGUAACGGGGCUAAACCAUGCACCGAAGCUGCGGCAGCGACACUAUGUGUUGUUGGGUAGGGGAGCGUUCUGUAAGCCUGUGAAGGUGUGCUGUGAGGCAUGCUGGAGGUAUCAGAAGUGCGAAUGCUGACAUAAGUAACGAUAAAGCGGGUGAAAAGCCCGCUCGCCGGAAGACCAAGGGUUCCUGUCCAACGUUAAUCGGGGCAGGGUGAGUCGACCCCUAAGGCGAGGCCGAAAGGCGUAGUCGAUGGGAAACAGGUUAAUAUUCCUGUACUUGGUGUUACUGCGAAGGGGGGACGGAGAAGGCUAUGUUGGCCGGGCGACGGUUGUCCCGGUUUAAGCGUGUAGGCUGGUUUUCCAGGCAAAUCCGGAAAAUCAAGGCUGAGGCGUGAUGACGAGGCACUACGGUGCUGAAGCAACAAAUGCCCUGCUUCCAGGAAAAGCCUCUAAGCAUCAGGUAACAUCAAAUCGUACCCCAAACCGACACAGGUGGUCAGGUAGAGAAUACCAAGGCGCUUGAGAGAACUCGGGUGAAGGAACUAGGCAAAAUGGUGCCGUAACUUCGGGAGAAGGCACGCUGAUAUGUAGGUGAAGCGACUUGCUCGUGGAGCUGAAAUCAGUCGAAGAUACCAGCUGGCUGCAACUGUUUAUUAAAAACACAGCACUGUGCAAACACGAAAGUGGACGUAUACGGUGUGACGCCUGCCCGGUGCCGGAAGGUUAAUUGAUGGGGUUAGCCGCAAGGCGAAGCUCUUGAUCGAAGCCCCGGUAAACGGCGGCCGUAACUAUAACGGUCCUAAGGUAGCGAAAUUCCUUGUCGGGUAAGUUCCGACCUGCACGAAUGGCGUAAUGAUGGCCAGGCUGUCUCCACCCGAGACUCAGUGAAAUUGAACUCGCUGUGAAGAUGCAGUGUACCCGCGGCAAGACGGAAAGACCCCGUGAACCUUUACUAUAGCUUGACACUGAACAUUGAGCCUUGAUGUGUAGGAUAGGUGGGAGGCUUUGAAGUGUGGACGCCAGUCUGCAUGGAGCCGACCUUGAAAUACCACCCUUUAAUGUUUGAUGUUCUAACGUUGACCCGUAAUCCGGGUUGCGGACAGUGUCUGGUGGGUAGUUUGACUGGGGCGGUCUCCUCCUAAAGAGUAACGGAGGAGCACGAAGGUUGGCUAAUCCUGGUCGGACAUCAGGAGGUUAGUGCAAUGGCAUAAGCCAGCUUGACUGCGAGCGUGACGGCGCGAGCAGGUGCGAAAGCAGGUCAUAGUGAUCCGGUGGUUCUGAAUGGAAGGGCCAUCGCUCAACGGAUAAAAGGUACUCCGGGGAUAACAGGCUGAUACCGCCCAAGAGUUCAUAUCGACGGCGGUGUUUGGCACCUCGAUGUCGGCUCAUCACAUCCUGGGGCUGAAGUAGGUCCCAAGGGUAUGGCUGUUCGCCAUUUAAAGUGGUACGCGAGCUGGGUUUAGAACGUCGUGAGACAGUUCGGUCCCUAUCUGCCGUGGGCGCUGGAGAACUGAGGGGGGCUGCUCCUAGUACGAGAGGACCGGAGUGGACGCAUCACUGGUGUUCGGGUUGUCAUGCCAAUGGCACUGCCCGGUAGCUAAAUGCGGAAGAGAUAAGUGCUGAAAGCAUCUAAGCACGAAACUUGCCCCGAGAUGAGUUCUCCCUGACUCCUUGAGAGUCCUGAAGGAACGUUGAAGACGACGACGUUGAUAGGCCGGGUGUGUAAGCGCAGCGAUGCGUUGAGCUAACCGGUACUAAUGAACCGUGAGGCUUAACCUU
rnacentral:rRNA from 1 species